UACAUCCGACAUUUGCAGCCCCGAUGAAAAUCUCAAAAAAGCGCUUGUAAUGCAACACCAACAAUAGGGCAGCACUUCCCUCAAUGAGUGAUGUUACGCCAUCAUCGUCUACGAUUUCAACUGCCUACAUUUCGUACAUUCGUCAACUUCAACAUCAUUACAUUUCAUUCUGAUACACACAAGCAUAUAAAUAUACUUGAAUAUUGACA